CCUACGGGAGGCAGCAGUAGGGAAUUUUGCGCAAUGGGCGAAAGCCUGACGCAGCAACGCCGCGUGAUCGAGACGCCCUUCGGGGUGUAAAGAUCUGUCAGUGGGGACGAAACUUGACGGUACCCACCGAGGAAGCACCGGCUAACUCCGUGCAAGAAGCCGCGGUAAUACGGGAGGUGCAAGCGUUGUCCGUAAUCAUUGGGCGUAAAGUGUUUGUAGGCGGCACGUAAAGUCUGGUGUUAAAGGCAGAGGCGCAACUUCUGUACGGCACUGGAUACUUGUGAUCUAGAAUGCGGUAGAGGGAAAGGGAAUUCCUGGGUGAGCGGUGAAAGGCUUAGAAAUCAGGAGGAACAUCGGUGGCGUAAGCGCUUUACUGGGCCGUAAUUGACGCUGAGGAACGAAAGCCAGGGUAGCAAAUGGGAUUAGAUACCCGAGUAGUC
rnacentral:rRNA from 1 species